rnacentral:rRNA from 1 species
UACGUAGGGUGCAAGCGUUAAUCGGAAUUAUUGGGCGUAAAGCGCUCGCAGGCGGUCCCGUGCGUCGUGCGUGAAAGGCCCCGGCUCAACCGGGGGCGGUCGUGCGAUACGGCGGGACUGGAGACCAGUAGGGGGACGCGGAAUUCCGGGUGUAGUGGUGGAAUGCGUAGAGAUCCGGAGGAACACCAGCGGCGAAGGCGGCGUCCUGGACUGGACCUGACGCUCAGGAGCGAAAGCGUGGGGAGCGAUCCGG